GGGCAAUUAGCUCAGUUGGAAGAGCACUUGGUUCGCAAUCAAGGGGUCGGGGGUUCGAUCCCCCCAUUGUCCA
rnacentral:tRNA from 1 species